UACGUAGGGGGCAAGCGUUGUCCGGAUUCAUUGGGCGUAAAGAGCUCGUAGGCGGCUUGGCAAGUCGGGUGUGAAAACUCCAGGCUCAACCUGGAGACGCCACCCGAUACUGCCAUGGCUUGACGUCCGGUGAGGGGACCACGGAAGUUCCUGGCUGUAGGCGGUGAAAUGACGCAGAUAUCAGGGAGGAACACCGGGUGGCGAAGGCGGUGGUCUGGGCCGGUACUGACGCUGAGGAGCGAAAGCGUGGGGAUCAAACAGG
rnacentral:rRNA from 1 species